rnacentral:rRNA from 1 species
CUAGCUAACUGAAAUCAUAGAGUUUAUUUAAACUCAUGAUGUCGUAAGGGAAAAUAAUGAUAAUACCUUACUAAUAGUGUCGUCCAAAUCUGGUGCCAGAAGACUCGGUAAGACCAGAGACGCAAACGUUAAUCAUCUUAAACAGGCGUAAAGGGUUUGUAGGCAGCUUUCAGAAGUACUAUAAUUAAGCAAAUAAAGUAGUCUAAUUGGAAGCUAGAAUCAAAUGGAGGUUAUAGUGUAUAACGCUUAGAGGAGGGCUGAUAUCCUUAGAUCCUAAGCAGAAUACUCAGGGCGAAGGCCACUUUCCACUAAUGAUUGACGCUGAGAAACGAAGGUUAGGCUAGGAAAUAGGAUUAGAUACCCCGGUACUCCUUUCUGUAAACGAUGAAUGGUAGUCAUUAGUUCUUUAAAUAACUAGAGAC